CCACUGACUGACAGUAAGGCACCAUUACUGAAAAAUGACAAUUCCAGGGAUAGAAGGGAAGAGUGGGCAGUGACCGCUGUGAAUUACUUUUAAAUUUUCAGUGUAAGCUUGCUCUAAUCUGUUACUUAUACAGGGGGCAUGAAGAACAGGUCCUCCUUCCAUUGCAAAAAUACAGUGAGAAGUGUCCCAGUCACAGGAAUUCAAGUUAUUCUGUGGAUUCAACAGCAAAGAAAAAUGUAAAGGCCGAAGGGAGCCACAACAAGGAGGCUGAAGAGCCGCAUGCAGCUCCGGAGCCGUGGGUUGCAGACCCCUGCCAUAGAAGCAUAUAGACAUCUAGAAACAUCCUCACACAAAAAGAUAAUAGUCUCCCAUAACUCUUUACUCUGUGCAUCUCUUGAGUCUGUCACCCUGCAAACUAAAAUUCAUACUUAUCCCUACUUUUCCUCAGGGUGCUCAAGAAUGACUCAGAAAGCUUGCCUAGGCAGAAUAAAAUUUCAUAACAGCAUGAACAAAAGAGCCUCGGCACACCAAAUGUACCACCAUAAAAAUGUUAAUUCAACAAAUCACAAAAAAGAACAAGAGAAGGA